CUUUUGCAUGAAGCAUAUUCCAGUUACAUUAUACUCACUCAUUCGCAUAUUUUUAUAAAAUUAUAUCGACUGCAACAUCACAGCAGGAAUGAACAGAA